GUUAGCUCAGCGGUAGAGCGUUUGACUCUUAAUCAAAUGGUCGAGGGUUCGAUCCCCUCAU
rnacentral:ncRNA from 14 species